AUGACCCACAACCUACGAAAAACGCAUCCAAUCAUUAAAAUUAUUAAUCAAUCAUUCAUUGAUCUUCCAGCCCCAUCAAACAUCUCAGCUUGAUGAAAUUUUGGAUCUCUUUUAGGAAUUUGUCUAAUUAUUCAGGUGUUUACUGGCCUAUUCUUAGCAAUACAUUACACAGCAGAUAUUUCAUCAGCAUUCUCAUCAGUUGCCCAUAUCUGCCGAGAUGUCCAGUAUGGAUGACUAAUACGAAACCUUCACGCUAACGGAGCCUCAAUAUUCUUCAUUUGUAUUUAUAUUCACAUUGGCCGAGGCCUAUAUUAUGGCUCCUACAUAUACAAAGAGACAUGAAACAUCGGAGUUGUUCUACUACUAUUAGUCAUAGCUACAGCAUUCGUUGGGUACGUC
rnacentral:rRNA from 1 species